AGGUUUUUCCGGGAUUUGGUUAAACCCUUCUGUCCCUUCAAGGAAACGAAAGGAAAGUGACCGGGUACCUUGGAGGGAGGAAAGGCCCCCCGGCCUAACCUACCGUGCCCAGGCAGGCCCCCCGUUAAAUAACGUAGGGGGGCCGAGCCGUUUGUCCCCGGAAUGAUCUUGGGCGUUAAAGGGGCGUGUAGGGCGGCUGAUUUAAGUCUUGGAGUGAAAGUCCUGCUUUCAAGGUGGGAAUUGCUUUGGAGACUGGUCGGCUUGAGUGCGGAAGAGGUAAGUGGAAUUCCCAGUGUAGCGGUGAAAUGCGUAGAGAUUGGGAGGAACACCAGUGGCGAAGGCGACUUACUGGGCCGUAACUGACGCUGAGGCGCGAAAGCGUGGGGAGCGAACAGGAUUAGAUACCCUGGUAGUCCACGCUGUAAACGAUGAAUGCUAGGUGUAGCGGGUAUCGACCCCUGCUGUGCCGGAGUAAACACAAUAAGCAUUCCGCCUGGGGAGUACGGCCGCAAGGUUGAAACUCAAAGGAAUUGACGGGGGCCCGCACAAGCAGCGGAGCAUGUUGUUUAAUUCGAAGCAACGCGAAGAACCUUACCAGGGCUUGACAUAUACACGAAAAGCUAAGAGAUUAGCUCCCUCUACGGAGCGUGUAAACAGGUGGUGCAUGGUUGUCGUCAGCUCGUGUCGUGAGAUGUUGGGUUAAGUCCCGCAACGAGCGCAACCCCUGUUCUUAGUUGCCAGCAUGUAGAGAUGGGAACUCUAAGAAGACUGCCGGUGAUAAAUCGGAGGAAGGUGGGGACGACGUCAAAUCAUCAUGCCCUAUAUGUCCUGGGCUACACACGUACUACAAUGGCUAUAACAAAGGGAAGCGAAAGAGCGAUCUGGAGCGAAACCCAAAAAAGUAGUCCCAGUUCGGAUUGAAGGCUGAAAUUCGCCUUCAUGAAGCCGGAAUUGCUAGUAAUGGCAGGUCAGCAUACUGCCGUGAAUACGUUCCCGGGCCUUGUACACACCGCCCGUCACACCAUGAGAGUUGGGAAUACCCGAAGCCUGUGAGCUAACUGAAAAGAGGCAGCAGUCGAAGGUAGAAUCAAUGAUUGGGGUGAAGUCGUAACAAGGUAG
rnacentral:rRNA from 1 species